AAAGAAUAUAAAAUACAAGUAAGAAAGAUUUAUUUUAAGAUUUUUGAAUAUGAGGGGCGGAAGCAAAAGAAAUUUAAAACGACUAAUAAACAAGGAGUGUAACAAUAAAAUAAACGAAGCAAAUCAUGAGUCAUAUACACGUUGUAUGUCAUCUAAUUAAAGGACAACUCCAUAAAUCCCUUACCGAAAUUUUUCCGUAAAUUUAAUAGUUGCAUCAAAUAUAGAUGGUGUCCACGGCAAGCUUUCGCUUAAAAAUUUCAAACGUUUUUAUGAUGAUUUAAUGGAUUCAAUUCGGGCUAACGGGGAGGAAUAUCCUGAAAAGGGGAUAUGCCUUCAAAGUUGUAAAAAAACGACAUUUUCAGUCAAUAUGUGUCAGCAAAAAGAAGGAGGCUUUAGUUAGUAACAAUUAGUUAAUAAUAAUUAUUAUUUACCAAAUUAACAGCGGGAAUUAAAAACUUUGUUUAUAUAAUAUAGAAUAGCUUAUAAUAUUAAAUAGAUGUACAAUUUUUCAGAAUUUUACAAUAAUUAAUAAACGCAUUAACAAAUAAUUCAAAAUUAUAAAAUUUGAAUGUUAAUCAAAGAACUCAUACU
rnacentral:lncRNA from 1 species